GAGGGGCAGCCUUGCUCUCGCUCCACUGAAACUAUAAAGGGACCUGCGGGGGAAAGCUGGACCAUGGCUCAUCAUUCUUAACAUCCUCGAAGCAGUUGCAAAAAGAUAAAAAGAUGAAGGGGAGCCCAAAGCUUCCGACAGAAUUCAUAACAGAAAAUAACUUGAUUAAAGCCUGACUCUUUUAAAAGUGAAUGCUGACCAGUGAGAUGCCAGCCUGCCUGUGAAGAUCCUGCAGCAGGAGUGCAUAAACAUCACUUACCAUUUUCUCCUGAACAGCUACAUCAAUGGAACAGUGUGUGUGACCGCUGUGCUCCUGGGAGUCAGAACACAGGUGACAGAGGAGGAUCUUGCUCUUAUCACAGAAGAUCAUCUUUUUCGCCUUGUGGGUCACACACUUGUGCUCCUCAGAAUUCAGAUAUUCCAUGAGCCUUUUCUUUCUGACAAUGAACACCUGCUUCUUCAGAGAAAUGUCAUUUAUAUAUCUCUGGUUGCAUGGUUGCCUACACGUGGGGCAGUAGGCAGGAAAUUUGAUGUCUUCUUGAAAAAGUAAGAGACAUGUCUCGCAGAACUUAUGGCCACACCUUAAAUAAACUGGAUCCAUAAAGAUACCCUGGCAGAUGGAGCAGGUGAGUGUUUCCUCCUGAGGGUCUUGUAAAUUGUCUGAUUCCAUUUUUCUGAGGGGAAAAAAUCAGUGUUAUUAUUGGGCCAGAGAGGAACAAGAAACUAGACAAAGUUUG
rnacentral:lncRNA from 1 species